CGAACGCUGGCGGCGUGCUUAACACAUGCAAGUCGAACGGAAAGGCCCUGCUUUUGUGGGGUGCUCGAGUGGCGAACGGGUGAGUAACACGUGAGUAACCUGCCCUUGACUUUGGGAUAACUUCAGGAAACUGGGGCUAAUACCGGAUAGGAGCUCCUGCUGCAUGGUGGGGGUUGGAAAGUUUCGGCGGUUGGGGAUGGACUCGCGGCUUAUCAGCUUGUUGGUGGGGUAGUGGCUUACCAAGGCUUUGACGGGUAGCCGGCCUGAGAGGGUGACCGGCCACAUUGGGACUGAGAUACGGCCCAGACUCCUACGGGAGGCAGCAGUGGGGAAUAUUGCACAAUGGGCGGAAGCCUGAUGCAGCAACGCCGCGUGCGGGAUGACGGCCUUCGGGUUGUAAACCGCUUUCGCCUGUGACGAAGCGUGAGUGACGGUAAUGGGUAAAGAAGCACCGGCUAACUACGUGCCAGCAGCCGCGGUGAUACGUAGGGUGCGAGCGUUGUCCGGAUUUAUUGGGCGUAAAGGGCUCGUAGGUGGUUGAUCGCGUCGGAAGUGUAAUCUUGGGGCUUAACCCUGAGCGUGCUUUCGAUACGGGUUGACUUGAGGAAGGUAGGGGAGAAUGGAAUUCCUGGUGGAGCGGUGGAAUGCGCAGAUAUCAGGAGGAACACCAGUGGCGAAGGCGGUUCUCUGGGCCUUUCCUGACGCUGAGGAGCGAAAGCGUGGGGAGCGAACAGGCUUAGAUACCCUGGUAGUCCACGCUGUAAACGGUGGGUACUAGGUGUGGGGUCCAUUCCACGGGUUCCGUGCCGUAGCUAACGCUUUAAGUACCCCGCCUGGGGAGUACGGCCGCAAGGCUAAAACUCAAAGGAAUUGACGGGGCCCCGCACAAGCGGCGGAGCAUGCGGAUUAAUUCGAUGCAACGCGUAGAACCUUACCUGGGUUUGACAUGGAUCGGGAGUGCUCAGAGAUGGGUGUGCCUCUUUUGGGGUCGGUUCACAGGUGGUGCAUGGCUGUCGUCAGCUCGUGUCGUGAGAUGUUGGGUUAAGUCCCGCAACGAGCGCAACCCUUGUUCACUGUUGCCAGCACGUUAUGGUGGGGACUCAGUGGAGACCGCCGGGGUCGACUCGGAGGAAGGUGGGGAUGACGUCAAGUCAUCAUGCCCCUUAUGUCCAGGGCUUCACGCAUGCUACAAUGGCUGGUACAGAGAGUGGCGAGCCUGUGAGGGUGAGCGAAUCUCGGAAAGCCGGUCUCAGUUCGGAUUGGGGUCUGCAACUCGACCUCAUGAAGUCGGAGUCGCUAGUAAUCGCAGAUCAGCAACGCUGCGGUGAAUACGUUCCCGGGGCUUGUACACACCGCCCGUCAAGUCAUGAAAGUUGGUAACACCCGAAGCCGGUGGCCUAACCGUUGUGGGGGAGCCGUCGAAGGUGGGACUGGUGAUUAGG
rnacentral:rRNA from 1 species